GAUGAACGCUAGCGGCAGGCUUAACACAUGCAAGUCGAGGGGUAUAGUUAGCUUGCUAAUUAGAGACCGGCGCACGGGUGCGUAACGCGUAUGCAAUCUACCUUCACAGAGGGAUAGCCCAGAGAAAUUUGGAUUAAUACCUCAUAGUAUAAUGAGUUGGCAUCAACCCAUUAUUAAAGUCACAACGGUGAAAGAUGAGCAUGCGUCCCAUUAGCUAGUUGGUAUGGUAACGGCAUACCAAGGCAACGAUGGGUAGGGGUCCUGAGAGGGAGAUCCCCCACACUGGUACUGAGACACGGACCAGACUCCUACGGGAGGCAGCAGUGAGGAAUAUUGCGCAAGUGGGGGGAACCCUGACGCAGCGACGCCGCGUGAAGGAAGAAGGAUCUAUGGUUCGUAAACUUCUUUUGCAGGGGAAUAAAGUGCAGGACGUGUCCUGUUUUGUAUGUACCCUGAGAAUAAGGAUCGGCUAACUCCGUG
rnacentral:rRNA from 1 species